GCAACUCUGGAAAGCGGCCCCCGACGGGGUCCACCGACGGUGCAAGCGGGCGCGUCCCGCGAAAGCUCUCAGGUCCCAUGACAGAGCGGGG
rnacentral:ncRNA from 1 species